rnacentral:rRNA from 1 species
UACGUAGGGGCAAGCGUUGUCCGGAUUUAUUGGGUCGGUAAAGAGCGUGGUAGGCGGCCUUGACAGGGUCAUGCUGUGAAAACUCGAGGCUUCAACCUCGAGAUGUCGGCGGAAACCGUACUGGCUAGAGUCCGGAAGAGGAGAGUGGAAUUCCUGGUGUAAGCGGUGAAAUGCGUAGAUAUCUGGAGGAACACCGGUGGCGAAGGCGGCGAUCCUGGACCGACAUUGACGCUGAUGAGCGAAAGCUAGGGGAGCAAACGGG